rnacentral:rRNA from 1 species
GGGGAUUACGUUCCCAAGCGCUGAAACGCAAAAGGAAUUGACGGGGGGCCCGCACAAACGUUGGAGCAUGUGGUUUGAUUCGACGCAACGCGAAGAACCUUACCUGGGCAUGAACUGCUGGGUUUAGCUUCCUGAAAGGGAAGUGAACCUGCUUGCAGGAGACCAGCAGAGGUGCUGCAUGGCUGUCGUCAGCUCGUGUCGUGAGAUGUUGGGUUAAGUCCCGCAACGAGCGCAACCCUUGCCUUUAGUUGCCAGCGAGUCAUGUCGGGUACUCUAAGGGGACUGCCACGGAUCACGUGGAGGAAGGUGGGGAUGACGUCAAGUCAGCAUGCACUUUAUGUCCAGGGCGACACACGUGCUACAAUGGUCGGCACAAAGGGACGCGAAACCGCAAGGUGGAGCUAAUCUUCAAAGCUGCUCUCAGUUCAGAUCGCAGCAUGCAAUUCGCCUGCGUGAAGUUGGUAUCGCUAGUAUCAGCGGAUCAGCAUCCCCGCGGUGAAUACGUUCUCGGCACUUGACACACCGCCCGUCACAUCACGAAAGU